CACGUACGACAUAAUCCUUGGAAAAUUUCACCCUUUUUUCCUAUAAAUUACGUGAACACCCCAACAUAAGCCAAAUCCUUGUGAAAUAAUUGGAUUCAAACUCUGAAUCCGGAAACCAGAUUACUUUUGUUCUUCCAUCUAAAUCUGCUGCUCAAAUUCCUUCAGCAUCUGAGUUUCUUGAUGACUUGCUGCCUUUUAUGAGUAUAUAUAUUCAACCUUCUUUAGAAAGGAAGAAAUUAAUAAGAUUAACGAUCAUGAGAAGAAAUUGAUCCGGGGUUGUAACGUGUAACCGGUAUUGGCAACACAACCAUCCCAACAGGAAGAGGACGCAGCUUCAGUAUUGCUAAUCUAUCUUCUUGCUAGUGCAUCGAUAAGGAAGUAUCUCAUCUGAAAAUUAAACUUUUGCUGCCUCUGUUACAAUGUUGAGCAAUCAUAUAGAAGUUAGUGUCUGCGAUAAUAGAAAACUUUUUAUAUGUGUUAUGUCUCCAACAAUACUCUCACGCAAAGGUGCACCAUCACAUUGUGUUUGAAAAAUUCUUAUUCUUGAAAUAUUAGUUAACAACCAUGUCAUUUUCAGCUAUUUGUCCAAAGUUAUGGAAAUAUAUAUUUUGUGCUUGCAGAUCUCAGUAGAAUCAAGGUAGAUUCAUCAUAUAUGAUAUGACGUUUGAUGAGGCAAGAGCCCGAUAAAACCACUAUUUUAAGGUAAUUAAAUUAUUGAGUGAACUUGUAUUCUUCAAAUACUUCUGUCAGAGAAGGGUGCCCCUCUUUGUGUUGGCGUAUGAAUUCUUUUGUAAUUCUUCUAUUUAAUUACAAGUUACUUAAUCUAGUGCAUAAGAUAUUGGAGAUUUAAGUCAGGAUCCAGACCUAAUAUUGAAAUACUCGUUGAAGAGCAAUUCAAUAUAAUCCCUCCGCCCCGUUUAUAGUGAAUGGUUUUGUUUUUCACAAAGAUUAAAAAAAUAUUAUUUAAUGCUAUUGAAAAAACAAUUUUUGCCAAACACUUUUCCAAUUUACCUUUAUUUAUAUUUGUAUAAUUUCAAGAUUAAGUAGGAAAAAUUAGUUAUAAUUAAGCAAAUUAAAUAAGGGUAUAUUAGUAAAUGAACAAAACAAAACAUUCUCAAUAAAGAAAUAAGACUAUAUAAUUAAGACAAGAAAAUAAAGAGAGUCAACCUAUAUAAAUGGGACGGAGAGAGUAUAAGAGAGGUUGGAUCAAUUUCCUUUUACGUCUAAAGGAGUCAAGAUCCAAUUUUUGCGGUUCCAUUUAUCGUGUGAUUCCCCACACAGAUUUGGACGGGUUUUAGCCUUUAUGUCUUUUGGUACUCCCCCAUCUUUUCCAUGUCGUAUAUAUUGAUUGUCAGCCGUUAACUUUAUAAGCCAAUUACCAAAGUUUUAUCCCGAGACAAUUACAAAUUAUUGUUCCCGUAUGUGAGAUUUUCCGUAGAUGGUGUAAAACCUAUUGCCACACUUGAUUUAGGUAAGGACAAAUAUCUUGGAAGAAUAACCUAGAUUUUUGUAUUGGAGCUAUUUAUGUAUGUUAACUAAUUAAUAGAUACGUAUGGCAAGCGAAUUCACGUCAUUCAAGAUUGUAUCGAGCUCCUCUGCUGUUGAAACUGGUUAAUGUGGGUGAGUGAACAAUUAUGAACAAAGAACACAGAGAGAUUUGGAGAAGAUCCUAAGUACGUAGUUUUCUCAAUAGAAGAUAAUCACGAUGUUGGUUUUAACGAUCAUCUCAAAGCCUUGCCAAUAGAAAGACUGGAACGCCCAUGAGCUCACAUUGAUAUAGGUUUGCUGAUACACCAAACAUAUUUCAAUUCUUGAAUUGCUUAAUUUUCUUUAAUUUUGGGUAGAUCAUCUAUUGUCAUCCAAAUUCAAACUGGGUAUUAGCACAUGAAUAAUCUUUUGGAAAUAUAAUAAUCGCUGGUACAUAUACUACGUAAGAUACAUGUAAAGUGUUGUCUUUACUUUAAUUAGUCACUAUAGGGCAACUGGGUACUAAUUAUGUCACUGAAGGCCGAUCAUACGGUGCUUUUCUUUGAAAGUUCCAAGUAUGUUAUCUAGGAGCUAAAGGUACAUGGAGGGUGAUGAAUUCUCUUGUAUCUCCCUCAAUAAUUGCUAGAAAUGUAGGGAAUUCAACUUCAAUUUUCCGUGAUAAAAAGCAGCACAUGAGAAUUCAUGAUAUUAAAGAAUCUUCUUAUCCUUCAAUGAUGUACAUAUGAAUUCUAA